rnacentral:rRNA from 1 species
UGAAUAUAAACAGCCGCAGAAUUUUAUACUGUGCUAAGGUAGCAUAAUCACUUGUCUUUUAAUUAAAGAAUAGAAUGAACGGAAAAACGAAUUUUAAACUAUUUCAUUAUUACUUAAUAAAUUUACCAAAAAGUAAAAACACUUUUAAACUAAAAAAAGACGACAAGACCCUAAAGAACUUAACUAAAGUUUAGCUGGGGCGGCUCCAUAAAAAAAUCUUACAUCUCUUUCCUCAAACCCUAAAUUUAUACCAAUGUUACCUUAGGGAUAACAGCAUAAUUUAAUUUUACAGUUCGUAUCCAAAAUUAAGAUUAUGACCUCGAUGUUGAAUUAAAUUUCUUUUAAAAGAAAAAAAUUAACUAGAAAGUCUGUUCGACU